rnacentral:lncRNA from 1 species
UAACGCAUCAGGUAGGAUCAGCGCAUCAUGAGCUGACCCUUCCCAUGCAGCAAGGACAUAGGUGAACCGCAUGUCGAAAUCGACAACAGCUAGCACAUUCUAUGUUGGGCUCUGCUUACGGCCUCUAAAUGCAGCCUGCAUCUUAAAUGGAACCCUAGCUAGAAUGUGGGUUCCAUUAAUAGCUCCAAUGCAAUCCUAGGACAGUUAUGACGUAUGCAUCAGUGUACCAUGAAGGUAGCAAACAAACAGAAUACAAACAAAAUUUAAGGACACUACAAACAAUCCCAAGUACCUUGAAAUAUGGGUUCCAUCUCUGGCUCCCAAGAAUUUUAGGGUGUGUGCCACCUUCAGGGGCCAUGAUCAUCUCACCCCUCAGCUCCCC